rnacentral:rRNA from 1 species
UCGAGCGGACAGAUGGGAGCUUGCUCCCUGAAUGUUAGCGGCGGACGGGUGAGUAACACGUGGGUAACCUGCCUGUAAGACUGGGAUAACUCCGGGAAACCGGGGCUAAUACCGGAUGCUUGUUUGAACCGCAUGGUUCAAACAUAAAAGGUGGCUUCGGCUACCACUUACAGAUGGACCCGCGGCGCAUUAGCUAGUUGGUGAGGUAAUGGCUCACCAAGGCAACGAUGCGUAGCCGACCUGAGAGGGUGAUCGGCCACACUGGGACUGAGACACGGCCCAGACUCCUACGGGAGGCAGCAGUAGGGAAUCUUCCGCAAUGGACGAAAGUCUGACGGAGCAACGCCGCGUGAGUGAUGAAGGUUUUCGGAUCGUAAAGCUCUGUUGUUAGGGAAGAACAAGUGCCGUUCAAAUAGGGCGGCACCUUGACGGUACCUAACCAGAAAGCCACGGCUAACUACGUGCCAGCAGCCGCGGUAAUACGUAGGUGGCAAGCGUUGUCCGGAAUUAUUGGGCGUAAAGGGCUCGCAGGCGGUUUCUUAAGUCUGAUGUGAAAGCCCCCGGCUCAACCGGGGAGGGUCAUUGGAAACUGGGGAACUUGAGUGCAGAAGAGGAGAGUGGAAUUCCACGUGUAGCGGUGAAAUGCGUAGAGAUGUGGAGGAACACCAGUGGCGAAGGCGACUCUCUGGUCUGUAACUGACGCUGAGGAGCGAAAGCGUGGGGAGCGAACAGGAUUAGAUACCCUGGUAGUCCACGCCGUAAACGAUGAGUGCUAAGUGUUAGGGGGUUUCCGCCCCUUAGUGCUGCAGCUAACGCAUUAAGCACUCCGCCUGGGGAGUACGGUCG